GUAUCUUCUUCCUCCUUGAGCUGAAGGCCCCUCUCCCAUUCCUUAGCUCAGGACAGUACAUAAGCCUCAACUGUCUGACUUUCCCUUGGGUCUCAUAUUUUUAUGGGGCUCCUGCACAUACAAAAUUAAAUUUUUCUCCUGUUUAUCUGUCUUAUGUCAAUUUGAUUGUUAGAUCAGCCAAAGAACCUAGAAGAGAAGAAUGGAAAAUUUUUAUGCCCCUACAGGUUUUGGUAACCUGUGAAAGGACCUGCACUGGCUGGACACUGCUCCCUCCAGGGCUGCUGCAGCUGGGAGAUCCUGAGACCUCUGACAAGCAUCAGCAGAAAAUUUAAGGAAACCUUCUCCUCUUUUCUCUUAAGCUAUCAGCAAUUUGUAAACUGGACUAGAUCUUGAAUUCUUCUAGUUUCCUCCGAUAUUUGGCUACAACUCUUCAGACUAACAUUUCCAGUUUUUCUCCCACUUGUCUGACUUGGAAUCCUUGAGAAUUAAAACUGUCCUUUUUCCGAAGUCAUGCAAGCUAAAGCCCAAUAACUUGAUAUAAACUUUAGAGAAAUCACCACAACAGCUCAUCUAUAGACAAUCUUUGUGCCUGUUGCUCUAUGGGCCACACAGAAAGAUCACUAGAGAUAUUCAAACUGCAAACCAGGAAAAUCUGUCAGAUUGCCACUGCCUGCCUUCACUACAUCUGAAGAUGUUUUAAGCCUGACAUCCAGAAAUCUUUGACUGGCUGCCCUCUAGACUCAGAUUGGACCUAACUUUGGGAGAACAACCGCAUCACUACCUCCUGAAAUGAGACGCAACUGUUUAACUGAACUGAUCUAUUCUCAGGACUAAGAGAUUUGUUCAAUGAGAUGGAACGAUCUACCAACUCAACUUCUGGACUGUGAAACUUCUUAAGAAAGUUUCAAAGGUGAGACUGAAGGGGAGAAGAAUAUGCCGUCCCAAAAUGUGCCACUUUGGCAUGUGGAUUACUUUGAGCUGAAGGCAAUCAAGACCCAGCAGAUUGGAAAAAUUCUUUUAUGUCUCCCUUAACUACCCAAAAAAAGAGAGCUGUUACCAGAGACAAAUGUUAUCUGAAUGACCUAUGUGUACAGCAGGGCAAACUUUUAAUUACCACACAUCUGUUUUUCUUAUUAUCCUUUGAAUUAUCCUCUUCCCCUUUGAAGCUCCAGAUCCUUCUCCCAUUUCUUAGCUCACGAUAGCAUAUAAGCCUCAAUUGUCCAACUUACCCUUGGAUCUCAUAUUUUUAUAGGGCUCCUUUAUGAACAAAAUUAAAUUUGUUUCUCUCCUGUUAAUCUGUCUUAUGUCAAUUUGACUGUUAGACUGGCCAAAGAUCCUAGACGGGAAAAUUAUUUUUCCACCCCUAUGUAGGGGAGGAAGAAAAAUUUUCCCUUCUACCUUUCUAAGUUCUUGGCUGAGAUACCCC
rnacentral:lncRNA from 1 species